UACAGAGGUCCCAAGCGUUGUUCGGAUUCACUGGGCGUAAAGGGUGCGUAGGUGGUGAGGUAAGUCGGAUGUGAAAGCUCGGAGCUCAACAUCCGAAUGGCAUUGGAAACUACCUUGCUCGAGGGUUGGAGGGGGGACUGGAAUACUUGGUGUACAGUGAAAUGCGUAGAUAUCAAGUGGAACACCGAUGGCGAAGGCAGGUCUCUGGGCAUUAACUGACGCUGAGGAGCGAAAGCAUGGGGAGCAAACAGG
rnacentral:rRNA from 1 species